CCUACGGGGGGCAGCAGUGGGGAAUAUUGGGCAAUGGGCGCAAGCCUGACCCAGCAACGCCGCGUGAAGGAAGAAGGCUUUCGGGUUGUAAACUUCUUUUCUGAGGGACGAAGAAAGUGACGGUACCUCAGGAAUAAGCGACGGCUAACUACGUGCCAGCAGCCGCGGUAAUACGUAGGUGGCAAGCGUUAUGCGGAUUUAGUGGGUUUAAAGGGCGUGUAGGCGGGAAAGGAAGUCAGAUGUGAAAACUCAGGGCUCAACCCUGAGCCUGCAUUUGAAACUGUUUUUCUUGAGUGCUGGAGAGGCAAUCGGAAUGCCGUGUGUAGCGGUGAAAUGCGUAGAUAUACGGAGGAACACCAGUGGCGAAGGCGGAUUGCUGGACAGUAACUGACGCUGAGGCGCGAAAGCGUGGGGAGCAAACAGGAUUAGAUACCCGGGUAGUC
rnacentral:rRNA from 1 species